AAGCGGUGGAGCAUGUGGUUCAAUUCGAUGCAAACCGAAGAACCUUACCCGGGCUUGACAUGCUGGUGGUACCGACCCGAAAGGAAGGGACCCAUGGCCUUCGGGCGCUUGGGAACCAGCACAGGUGCUGCAUGGCUGUUGUCAGCUCGUGUCGUGGGAUGUUGGGUUAAGUCCUGAAACGAGCGCAACCCCUGCUGCCCGUUGCCAACGGACCCUGCGGGGUGCCGGGGACUCAGGCGGGACUGCCGGCGAAUAGCCGGAGGAAGGAGGGGAUGAUGUCAAGUCCUCAUGGCCCUUAUGUCCGGGGCUACACACAUGCUACAGUGCCCAGCACAAUGGGUCGCCAACCCGCAAGGGGGAGCCAAUCCCAUCAAAACUGGGCAUGGUUCGGAUUGCAGGCUGCAACCCGCCUGCAUGAAGCCGGAAUCGCUAGUAAUCGCGGGUCAGCCACACCGCGGUGAAUACGUACCCGGGGCUU
rnacentral:rRNA from 1 species